CGCGCACGCGCCCCACCCCCUUCCAACACCUACCGCGCACGCGCCGCGGGACCCUAGGGUCAAGCAAAAUCGGGGCGUUUUCUCCCCCCUCGGGAUCCUUUCGGGGAGACCGAAAGAUCGGAUGACUGCGGGCUGGAGAGGAGGAGUCCAGAGGCGGACGCGGGGCUGCGCCUCCUGUCCCGACAGGGGAGUUGCUAAUGUUGAGAAGUCAGCUCCUACUGUAUGGCAGUGUCAGGUGAAGAGACGAUCAGAAAUAAUUACAUAAUCUAGAGCUGUUCUCCACGAGUUUGGUCACCUCUAUGGUUGAAUAGAUGAACUUAGAAGUUUUCCAUACAUCUAGUGAAGGCCCCACAAAACCUUGUUUUACUCUGCACCUCCAGCUAAUCCACAGCUUUCUCUCAUCUCUAGAAAAGUUAACUGGUAACAUUCUUAGGAUUCUCACAAGAUUGGCGAUGGCUGUUCCAACUUUUUUCUAAGUCUGAUGAAAGCUCGAGGAAGUAUGACAGGAAUCUGAUACUUCUCUGCUUAAUGAACUUUUAAGAGGUUAUCUCAGAGCAUUUUAAACUAGCGUAGGCAGGAUAAGGUGCCAGAGGUAAAUACUGAAUUUCCCAUCGACUUUCCUCCUUCCCUAAUGAAAAGCAGCAGGCACACGGACAGCCCAGUGACAAGGGACUCGAGCACACCUCGUGCCUCCCUUCAGCACGCCCUGCUCCCCCAACUUGCAGCCCGUGUUCCGCCUGCCCCAGGAGUCACAACCGGGCGGAGGGGACGGAGCUGCAGGAGACAGGAGGUAAAGAUGAGCUGUGCAGACAGAUGACCCGUGUUGCAGACCUUACUCGAUCAGCGAGGAGGACUGAAGUGGUUU